UGCCUGGCUGAUGGCGGCGGUGGGCAGAUGGCGAGGACCCCCUAAGCCCCCAGCUUCUCACAGACGUCAGGCUCAGUGGGCGAAACAACUCCUAAAAUAAGGACUUGGCUCAGGGAGGGAGAGGCUGAGACUGGCAGUGCAUGAUCUGCAGGGAACGUGGAGAACAGACCUUGAGCCCCAAGGAGGGCAGCCGAGACCCCGGACGUCCCCCACGCCUCUAGUGGGGAGACCCGCCAACUUCUCUAGCUCGUGGACUCCCGGAACAGAUGCUGACUCUUAUCCUUAGAGAAAGAGAAGGCAGAACUGCUUACUCAGUCUCUGGAACUCUCCCAGUCUGAUGGGGGAGGAACAGAGCCUCCAGUCUGACCAGCCAGCACCUCAGAAAAGAACCUACAAAGCAAGACGUGGCUCUGCCACCAACUUCUGUGACCUUGACCAAGCCAUUCCUAGUCUCCUGGCCUCAGUUUACCCAUUUGUAAAGUUGUGUAUUGUCUGCCUUCAUCUCCAGGCUAAUCGUUCUAGGAGGAUGGCCAUCGUCCAUUUUGCUCACCGUCGUGUCCCCAAGACAG